AUCACUUCUCAGCCUUUUGGCUAAGAUGAAGUGUAGUAUCUGUUCUUAUCAGUUUAAUGUCUGACACGGCCUCUAUCUGAGGAUAAUAUAUUAAGGAAAUUGAAUGGUGCAUAGGAUACUCCUGUAUUAUCUCUU
rnacentral:snRNA from 1 species